rnacentral:rRNA from 1 species
CCUCGCUUCGGUGGGGUGUUCUAGUGGCGAACGGGUGAGUAACACGUGGGCAACCUGCCCCCGGCUCUGGGAUAACUCCAAGAAAUUGGGGCUAAUACCGGAUGUGACCGCUGACCGCAUGGUCUGGUGGUGGAAAGGUUUUUUCCGGCUGGGGAUGGGCCCGCGGCCUAUCAGCUUGUUGGUGGGGUAGUGGCCUACCAAGGCGACGACGGGUAGCCGGCCUGAGAGGGUGACCGGCCACACUGGGACUGAGACACGGCCCAGACUCCUACGGGAGGCAGCAGUGGGGAAUAUUGCGCAAUGGGCGGAAGCCUGACGCAGCGACGCCGCGUGGGGGAUGACGGCCUUCGGGUUGUAAACCUCUUUCAGUAGGGACGAAGCGCAAGUGACGGUACCUACAGAAGAAGCACCGGCCAACUACGUGCCAGCAGCCGCGGUAAUACGUAGGGUGCAAGCGUUGUCCGGAAUUAUUGGGCGUAAAGAGCUCGUAGGCGGUUUGUUGCGUCGGCUGUGAAAACCUGAGGCUCAACCUCAGGCCUGCAGUCGAUACGAGCAGACUAGAGUGUUGCAGGGGAGACUGGAAUUCCUGGUGUAGCGGUGAAAUGCGCAGAUAUCAGGAGGAACACCGGUGGCGAAGGCGGGUCUCUGGGCAACAACUGACGCUGAGGAGCGAAAGCGUGGGGAGCGAACAGGAUUAGAUACCCUGGUAGUCCACGCCGU